GCGACCGGCGCACGGGUGAGUAACGCGUAUGCAACCUGCCCGAUACCGGGGUAUAGCCCAUGGAAACGUGGAUUAACACCCCAUAGUACUUUUAUCCUGCCUGGGAUGGGAGUUAAAUGUUCAAGGUAUCGGAUGGGCAUGCGUCCUAUUAGUUAGUUGGCGGGGUAACAGCCCACCAAGACGAUGAUAGGUAGGGGUUCUGAGAGGAAGGUCCCCCACAUUGGAACUGAGACACGGUCCAAACUCCUACGGGAGGCAGCAGUGAGGAAUAUUGGUCAAUGGACGAGAGUCUGAACCAGCCAAGUCGCGUGAGGGAAGACUGCCCUAUGGGUUGUAAACCUCUUUUAUAAGGGAAGAAUAAGUUCUACGUGUAGAAUGAUGCCUGUACCUUAUGAAUAAGCAUCGGCUAACUCCGUGCCAGCAGCCGCGGUAAUACGGAGGAUGCGAGCGUUAUCCGGAUUUAUUGGGUUUAAAGGGUGCGUAGGCGGUUUAUUAAGUUAGUGGUUAAAUAUUUGAGCUAAACUCAAUUGUGCCAUUAAUACUGGUAAACUGGAGUACAGACGAGGUAGGCGGAAUAAGUUAAGUAGCGGUGAAAUGCAUAGAUAUAACUUAGAACUCCGAUAGCGAAGGCAGCUUAC
rnacentral:rRNA from 1 species